UUAGGUAGCUAGCUAGCUAGCAAGGCUAUUCGGAUCUCGCUAGCUAGCCAGCAACCUACAGCACAAACCCAGAACCGGGUAGCUAACGCUAACUGUUUAACAUACAGUUUGCUAGCUAGCUAGGUAGCUACGUGUCAUAAAUAUGCAGCUGACUGGACCGUCCGUGAAGCGUGCACUGCGUCGACAGCAACCCAUUUAUUGAUUAAAACUAAAUGUCAACGGGCGAAAAGUGACUGCGGUUAGGCCGCUCGCCGGCCUACAGCCUACGGGUGCGAGUAGCAGCUCCGAGCCGCGGACUGAGCUCCCCGCGUCGGCGCAGGAUCCUGAGACAUGGGGCCCAGAAUAAUCAUCAAAUUAAAUGUGCCCGUAAGCGAUGCAAAUCGGCACAUCCGUUCUACAAAAACGGGUGUUUUGGACCCAUCUGACUGGGCUCUUUAACUUUACAGCGUAGCUUCCAUUGACUGCUGUUUUUUUUUUCCGCAGUUAGAUCCUGCAGCAGCUCCAGGAAGUACGUGCUCCCUCAAAUUCGGCCCCUCCAGCUUUCUCAGAUUUGAUGGCCUGCGUCCACGGGGACACUGUAUCUGCAACGUAAAACAGUUUUCAAGGCUGAAGCACCCAUGGGAACGUUCCUAUGAGAAGAAAGCUGCUCCGAGAAGUACACGGCGGAUCUCAUGUACAGUCCAGCAGAACACCGUUCAAAUCAAACCAGUCACCCCUUCCCAGCUGGGAGACGGCCACUUUCCGCUCUCUCAUGGCUGGCAGCUG